AAAGGCACAACGGACUCUAUGCGUUCGGACAUCGGCACCGUCAUUGACAGCGCUGCGGAUCCAACCAAGCCGAAGACAAACGCCGGUGGAGAACCCGACGUCAAGGCCGCAGCCGACGCAACCUCUCGAGCUGCGGAGGAAGCACAGAAGCUCAAAGACGCGGCGACGGAGCUCGAGGAGAAGCACACAGGUAAGCUCUAGCAUCUUUCGCAUCACUGUGAUUGAUCGCUGGGGAAAGGAAACGAGAGUCAACCAUUUACUAAAGCACGAAAGAGAUUCUAACAGGGAGUACCACUAACGCGAUGAACAAGUCGCACCACUUUCGAGCAAUAUCGUCUUCACGCGGCAGAAGCGCCGUCAUGCUCGUGCUAUUGAGUGCCAUGCUUUCGAGUUUGAUAGUCUCAAACUGGCCGGCCAUCCUCAAGCACGUGUUUGACUUCCUGCUCCACCACGGCAUAACAAUUUGAAUAUUCUGACCAAAAUUACAGAUGGUUUCUCUUACUGGAUAGACUAGACGAACUGAAGAGAAGCUUACUCCUCUAGAUGACCUAGUGCAGCAAGCAAAGUGCUAGGGACACAAGCUUGCUAGAGAAAUCUAGUUAUUUCUGGCUGGACAGGUAAAUUGUCCUCUCAAGAGGCUGCUAUGCUUCUGCAAGAAAUAAUGUCAAAUGUUAAAUCCUGCAUUAAAAAAAGGAUAUAAUUAUAUGCAUCCCAUAUGAACUUUUCAAUCCCAAUAUAGGACACUUUUUUUAGCAUGAAGCUCUAGAUCACCAUUUAUAACAUAAUGUGAUCCAGCUAUUGAUGUGGUUCGUGAUAAGCUUGCAAACUUUAUAUUUUGAUUUUGUCUCUUGAACAUAGAUAACAAUAUAUUUUAUAUCAUUAGUAUAAAUAUCAGCAUUGUCUUAUUGAGACAUGGGAAGCUCACAUUUUGUUGACUAUUUGUAGACUAUAGAAUUGGGGAGUUAACUUCAUGAUGAUCAACAAAAUGCUAAUUAAUAUAUGUUUCUUCUCUCAAACUUCUUCUUUAAUCUUCACAUUACUGACUUACAGAUUACAGAGUUGUUCUACCGAGCUCACUAGAAGGAAAACCUUUCACUCCUGCACUACCAAAUACAAAGAGAGAACUUUUGAAAAAACAUUAGAAUUAAUAAUCAAUUAAUGUGCAGGUAUAGAAAGAUUUCUUCUUCUAUGGUAAUCUCUGAACAACCAUGUGCAGAAAAAAAAAAGAAAAACAAGAGAUCAAAUUGACUUGGCAAAAAGAUACUUUCUUACCUUGCCAGCAUCAGACUUAUCUCUGACAAUUGUUUGACAAGCUAGCCUCCAAAGUACCAGGCUUAUGAAAGUUUUACAUAAUACAUUAUUCAUUUGUCUGCUUUGAAUUCUCCUUUACCUGUUUGAGAUAUUUCUUUUCAGCACUGGUUGGCUUGACUUAGCAACUCUUGUCAUUCUAAAAUCUCCAAAAUACAAUUUCCACAGCUGCCACCCCCUCCUCCACAGUUCAUCGCUCUUCAGUAAGAAAAAAAAAUCAAAUUUCACCCUUGACUUUGUUCAUAAGCUCACAUACAAUCUGUAGAGCUCAAGUUUGUUCUUGCGCAUCACAUUCCUGAGCACCUUCUCACCACUUUUGACACUCACAUCCCCAUUGCCAUCGGGCUCACAGCACACACAAAGAAAAAAGCUUUGGAAAUUGCUGGAGUUUUGAUGCUAUUAGCCCCCAAAAUUCGAGCUCUAUCGAUGCUGGCUCGCUGCUUGGCUGGUCACUACCAUCUUGUAGAUUUCAGAACAAUGACCUUGGAAUGAAUCGGAAAGGGGCAUCUGGAGAGACAGCCAUAGUGAACCAAAAACCAUAAAAAAUGCUGUGGAUUCGAACCGAUGCCCUUCCGGACCAGAACCGAAAUCUGGCGCAGUAUGUCAGUCUUUGCUGGUAGAAUGUGAUAGUGUAAGCCAAACUUGUAAUGUUAAUUAUUUUUAGGGCUUGUGUGUGGGAGCUGGAGCGAUGGGGAAGGUCCAAUGCCAGCGGAUUGGAUGCGACGCGCUCUUCUCUCCCGAUCAAAACGACGAUGAGAACGCUUGCUGCUACCAUCCCGGCGUAAGUUUGUGGUUUUCUUCCCGCGUUUUCACAGAGUUUUGCCUCCAAUUUUGAUCUUGUGCAUGAAAUUGGAACUGGAACUGGAUUUUUUCGAGCAGCCGGUAUGUGUUGUCAAAUCCGUGCUUGAUUUCUUCAGUUUGGGAUUGCUGUGGUGAUUUCAGCCCCUGUUUCACGACGGUGGGAAACAAUGGAGCUGCUGCAAACAGCAGAGUCACGAUUUUAGCUUGUUCUUAAGCAUUCCAGGGUACGUCUACUUUCUUCUUCUACUUCUUCUUCCUUCUUCUUUUGUGUUUGUUUUUCUUCUUUUUUGUUUUCUUUUAUUUCUGCUGCGGUCAUUUUUUCGUUCGUUGUUUUGUUCUUCUUCUUUCUUUUUGGAGGCUAAAUUUUCUCCUUGUUCCAUCAGCUGUACGCACGGAAAGCACACAUCAGAGAAACCAAAACCAGCUCCCAAGUCAAGCAAAACUGUACCACAGGGAGACGCCAGUAACACCAAUUGCUUGAGAUGCAAACAAGGUUUCUACUGUUCAGAUCACGGUAAGAAAACCUUAAACCUUUUGUCAUUUGUCUUGUUCAUUCGCAUGCACGGACGAUGGCUUUGAUCUUUUUUCUCUCUUUACUUGUCCUUUAUGCUCGUAACUUGAAAUUAAAAUAUCUGUUCUUCGCAGGCUCAAAGAUAUCGUGUGGACCAGUGGCAGCCCCCAGCAAAGACGUGGAAAAACCAGCUGCGAAAGAAGCUUCGCAAUCAUCGGUGCAAGCAGCCCCGGCGGCCCUCUCCAACGUGAUUGACUUGGAUGCAAAGCGGACGUGCAGGAAUAAAGGCUGCGGAAAGGCAUUCACCGAGCGAGAGAACCAUGAAACUGCUUGCAGUUAUCAUCCGGGCCCAGCUGUUUUUCACGACAGAUCGAGAGGAGUAAGCUUCUCUUCAGUUUGUCUAGUCUAUCCAUUCCAAAUCCUAUGACGCGUUUUUUUCUGUCUUGUUUUUUUCUUGCUAGUGGGCCUGCUGUGAUGUUCAUGUGAAGGAGUUUGACGAGUUCCUGGAGAUCCCGCCGUGCUCGAAAGGCUGGCACAGCAGCCAAUAGCUAAAAAACGAGAUGUACAUGCGCAGGAAUGCUUCGCGAUGGCUCUGGCUUGUACGUGAGUUUUCACUCGUUUUCGUUUCUUGAACGCUUUUCUGUUUUGCUUGAUAGGAUAUUGACACUGCGCGUGAAUUGGAACAGGUGUAUACGGCGUAAAACAAGCCGUCGUUUAGUCCACUCUUUGUUGUUUCUUUUGCUCACGUUUUUUCCAAGUCUCGAUUGUGUUAGGAAGCUUCGGAAAGUGCUGACUUUGAAGUUUCGUUUCGAGGGCUUCUUAAGCGGAGGUCGAGCAGCUUGGAUCUGGAUUCAAGGAUGGCUACGGUUUCUGAUAUCGCUUUUCCAGGACUACGUUUCAAUCCUCUGGCAGAACGACGCGGCUACCAGGUUCUAUCAAUCAACAAUCACUUGAGCGCGAGGGCGGGAUCCAGAAUUUCUACGAGAAGGCAACAGGAUUUGGUUGCUCUGAAGCUCUACUCAUCCUUCCCGGCGGAACAAAUCUCUCGCUUCUCUUCCGCAAGGCGCUCCAAUAUCAUCGCCAGAGCGAGGUAAGCUUUCGGAUCUUUUCCUCUCCGAAAACAAAUUCUCGUGAAUUGUGAUGAAACAGUAACGAUCCAGAUGGCCCAGUUUCGAAGUCCUUUUUCUCCUUGAAUAUGUGAGAAUUGUCAUUUUGGGUGCUCUUUUAUUUAACCAAUUCUGCAGAUUGGAUGUGUUGGGUUUUCUGAUAAGAAUUCCGGCCCUCAUCCUGGGAUUUAUAAAAAAGGAGAAACAGAUUAUCGAUAAAGUGGAAGGUAUUAACGUUGCUUUCUUAUUGUUCCAUGCUAACAGUAAGAAUUUUGUGCACUGCUGCACAGAUCAAAUAGACGACGCAGCAGAAACAGUGAGCGGCAUUGCCGAAGCAAUAGAGCAAGUGGCAGGAGUUGUGGAGAAAGUGGCCGAGUCGAUCGCAGAUGACGCAAGAGACACCCGUGAACUCAUGGACAAGGUGAGCACGCUCAUUUGCUUUGCUCCAACCUUCCAAGCAUUCUAAGCUUCAACUGUUGGAAGCAUAGGUGGAAGCCACAGCGGACUCUAUGCGUUCGGACAUCGGCACCGCCAUUGACAGCCUGCAAGGAGCUGCGGAUCCAACCAAGCCCAAGACAAACGCCGGUGGAGAACCCGACGUCAAGGCCGCAGCCGACGCAACCUCUCGAGCUGCGGAGAAAGCACAGAAGCUCAAAGACGCGGCGACGGAGCUCGAGGAGAAGCACACAGGUAAGCUCUAGCAUCUUUCGCAUCACUGUGAUUGAUCGCUGGGGAAAGGAAACGAGAGUCAACCAUUUACUAAAGCACGAAAGAGAUUCUAACAGGG
rnacentral:lncRNA from 1 species